UGGGGAAUAUUGCACAAUGGGCGCAAGCCUGAUGCAGCCAUGCCGCGUGUGUGAAGAAGGCCUUCGGGUUGUAAAGCACUUUCAGCGGGGAGGAAGGCGAUAAGGUUAAUAACCUUGUCGAUUGACAUUACCCGCAGAAGAAGCACCGGCUAACUCCGUGCCAGCAGCCGCGGUAAUACGGAGGGUGCAAGCGUUAAUCGGAAUUACUGGGCGUAAAGCGCACGCAGGCGGUCUGUCAAGUCGGAUGUGAAAUCCCCGGGCUUAACCUGGGAACUGCAUUCGAAACUGGCAGGCUAGAGUCUUGUAGAGGGGGGUAGAAUUCCAGGUGUAGCGGUGAAAUGCGUAGAGAUCUGGAGGAAUACCGGUGGCGAAGGCGGCCCCCUGGACAAAGACUGACGCUCAGGUGCGAAAGCGUGGGGAGCAAACAGG
rnacentral:rRNA from 1 species